rnacentral:rRNA from 1 species
CCUACGGGAGGCAGCAGUGGGGAAUAUUGGACAAUGGGCGAAAGCCUGAUCCAGCAAUGCCGCGUGAGUGAUGAAGGCCUUCGGGUCGUAAAGCUCUUUUACCAGGGAUGAUAAUGACAGUACCUGGAGAAUAAGCUCCGGCUAACUCCGUGCCAGCAGCCGCGGUAAUACGGAGGGAGCUAGCGUUGUUCGGAAUUACUGGGCGUAAAGAGUACGUAGGCGGUUAUUCAAGUCAGAGGUGAAAGCCCGGGGCUCAACCCCGGAACUGCCUUUGAAACUAGAUAACUAGAGUCUUGGAGAGGUUAGUGGAAUUCCGAGUGUAGAGGUGAAAUUCGUAGAUAUUCGGAAGAACACCAGUGGCGAAGGCGACUAACUGGACAAGUACUGACGCUGAGGUACGAAAGCGUGGGGAGCAAACAGGAUUAGAUACCCUGGUAGUCCACGCCGUAAACGAUGAUAACUAGUUGUUCGGUCACUUGGUGUACUGAGUAGACGCAGACUACGACAUUAAGUUAUUCCGUCCGUCGGGUAGGUACGGUCGCGAGAGUUAAACGUACAAAUAGAAGUUAGUACGGCGUGUAGACGUUGCGAACGGACGACGACGAGGGAGGAGG